UCUGUGUAGAUGCUGCUGUGUAUCCGCCUGUUUACCAUACACUGUAUCCUCCUUUAAAGCUUUCAUUUUAUUCAGAAAGACUUUGGCUUAGAAGACUGUUUAAAUAAUAAUACUCCGGAUUAUUUCUCUAAAAUUCUAGGUUUCUCAACACUUCUAUAUUACUCUAACGUUAUCACUAUUUUUUUUUCCCACUUCUUCUUUUGUUUUUCACAGAUGGAAAGUUCAGAUGUUUUCUCCAGAGGACUUAGUUUGAAAUUUUAGAGCCAACGGCUACUAUCCUGUCUCUGCAGUAUGGCAGUGGAAACCGCUUCCACCAACUGCAACAAUAAGGUCUCUUACACUGGAGUGCAGGAUCAGAGGAAUGCAGGACGUGGAUGAUUUUGACCACCACAUUGUUACCACAAGAGCAGUAAAGAGACACAUGGAAGUUCGUGGAACCAUUUCCACUGUGCGCAGUACACUGUUGUUCAAGCCCUUUACAUAGACAGAAGAACUAGUUGAGAAAAACCUAGCUUCUCUAGUUUAAUUUUUAAAUGUUUUAGACAAGUUUUGCUAAGACAUUAAAGGUUUAAAAAAAU
rnacentral:lncRNA from 1 species